ACUAAAUAGAUACCCCGGUAGUCCACGCCCUAAACGAUGUCUACUAGUUGUCGGGUCUUAAUUGACUUGGUAAACGCAGCUAAACGCGUGAAAGUAGACCGCCUGGGGAGUACGGUCGCAAGAUUAAAACUCAAAGGAAUUGACGGGGACCCGCACAAGCGGUGGAUGAUGUGGAUUAAUUCGAUGCAACGCGAAAAACCUUACCUACCCUUGACAUGGAUGGAAUCCUUGAGAGAUUGAGGAGUGCCCGAAAGGGAACCAUUACACAGGUGCUGCAUGGCUGUCGUCAGCUCGUGUCGUGAGAUGUUGGGUUAAGUCCCGCAACGAGCGCAACCCUUGUCAUUAGUUGCUACGAAAGGGCACUCUAAUGAGACUGCCGGUGACAAACCGGAGGAAGGUGGGGAUGACGUCAAGUCCUCAUGGCCCUUAUGGGUAGGGCUUCACACGUCAUACAAUGGUACAUACAGAGGGCCGCCAACCCGCGAGGGGGAGCUAAUCCCAGAAAGUGUAUCGUAGUCCGGAUUGUAGUCUGCAACUCG
rnacentral:rRNA from 1 species